ACUGCACGAAGCUGGAAUCGCUAGUAAUCGCGGAUCAGCACGCCGCGGUGAAUACGUUCCCGGGCCUUGUACACACCGCCCGUCACACCAUGGAAGUCUGCAAUGCCCGAAGCCGGUGGCCUAACCACUUAUGUGGAAGGAGCCGUCUAAGGCAGGGCAGAUGACUGGGGUGAAGUCGUAACAAGGUAGC
rnacentral:rRNA from 1 species